CAGAUGGCAACAUUACAAGAUGCCCAGACAGGCAUUAUGCCACAGAGCAUCGGACAGAAUGUGAACACAGUGAAUGACAAGAGGACAAAGUAUAGACUCUGAUAUCACAGUGAGCCAGCAAAAACCAGAACAAAUAUUGAAAGAGGACAAACCAUGUCUCGAAAUGCAUUCUGGUCCCUUACAAUACUAUCAUCAGAGAAAGGAGGAUGGAUGCGCUCAGGGUCUUCGUCUACCUUUUCCAGAACUUUGUCAUCUGAAUUUGGCCAACAAUGAGGUCUGUGUAUUGCCUGCUGGCGGUUAAAAGGCUUUUGAUUUGCUACAAACAUAGACAGCUGAAUGAAGUCAUUGACAGCAGAGCUAUUUGCCACUUCUUUCCUCUAGAUAGCUGAGGAAGAGGCAUUGUUGCCCGUGGCAUUGUUUCCAAAGCUCAGUGAGCUUGUUAUUCACUCAAACCCCUUGACAACACAGAGAAGUGGUAAGCUCACACAUCCUCAGGCAGGCUCAUUGUUAGUGCAUUAAAUCAACUAAAUCUGACAAAAAAUGCACAUCUUUUUGUGUUUUUCAAUACAGGCGAUCCACCAAUGCUGACCUGUUUUCUUCAAGACAAGCUGGGUAUUAAGAUAACACGCAAAAAAACAACUAAUCUCAUUAAGCGACAUAUACUCCAUAAAAGAAAGGUGGCACAAAUGCACAAGUUUGGAUUUAGCACUUCAUAUUUUUAAAGUAAAUCCUUUCAGAAACAAUUUACCUUCUACUUAAACUUUCAGGUGAAAACCACACUUCCAAAAUUUCCUUCGAUCACGGCAAAUCAACAUGCUACAGAAACGCUCUUCUCCAAGAAAUGUACUGGACAAGAUAAUCCUCUACCCUUAGAGUAUGGGUUAACUCAUGUAUUUGGCUUCUCGUCUCAAACAAGCAUUGACGACGAGGAAGACAUUGGCAUAGGCCAGGAGCAUUUUGACUUGACAAGUGCAGACAUAUUCUUUGAGACGAAUCAAAAUGCAGAGCCGUUCUUUGUGACAGAG
rnacentral:lncRNA from 1 species